ensembl:processed_transcript
ACUGGAUAUAUUCCAGCUCACCAUAGAGCAAGUGAGUCGUGUUUGGUAGAGGGAACCACAUGGUGAACUGAGGCUACCGACCCACUCCGGUUCUGAUUGUUUUGAGAACAUUAUUGUUGCUGCUCAAAUACAGGACCUGUUGUCCUAGAGAUGUUCAGAUGAGGUGUUUGUUGGUUCUUUCAAUGGACUGCAAUGAUUUGGUUUCAACGUUCUUUAUGCUUCUCAUUGGCAAAUGAACUAUAUGUGUACAUGUGGAAUGACGGUCAGUGACUCUUAAAUUCAUCAUACUACCGUUUUCCCAGUGUGAGGAAGUGGAUCUUAUUGCAUCGCACUCAAAUCCAUCUACGCAACAUUCACCCAACCAUCUAUAUCAUUUACACAGACUGUUUACAUUCAAUGACUGCUUGGUUUUGGAUAUUGAUUACUUUUGUUUGUGUGGACUAAAUACUGUAUACACAUGUAGAGAAAUUAAACAAGAAGGAAAAAGGGAAAAACAGGCUUGUGAAGUUUAUUUUAAUUUCAGUAUGUGUGAAAUAAAAAUUCUGUGAACUCCCUCAGUGUAACAUCUUGCAUGCAUAGAGGUGGUGUUACA